rnacentral:rRNA from 1 species
CCUACGGGGGGCAGCAGUGGGGAAUAUUGCACAAUGGGCGCAAGCCUGAUGCAGCAACGCCGCGUGAGUGAAGAAGGCCCUUGGGUUGUAAAGCUCUUUAGGUUGGGAAGAGGGUUGAUUUACCUAACACGUAGAUUGACUGACGGUACCAGCAGAAUAAGCACCGGCUAACUCCGUGCCAGCAGCCGCGGUAAUACGGGGGGUGCAAGCGUUGUUCGGAAUGACUGGGCGUAAAGCGCACGUAGACGGGUAUGUAAGUCGGAUGUGAAAUCCCCGAGCUUAACUUGGGAACUGCAUCCGAAACUGCGUAUCUUGAAUGCUUCAAGGGUUGGUGGAAUUCCAGGUGUAGGAGUGAAAUCCGUAGAGAUCUGGAGGAACAUCGGAGGCGAAGGCGGCCAACUGGGGAUGCAUUGACGUUGAGGUGCGAAAGCGUGGGGAGCAAACAGGAUUAGAUACCCCUGUAGUC